rnacentral:rRNA from 1 species
ACACGUAGGGGCCUGACGUUGUUCGGAAUCAUUGGGCGUAAAGGGCGCGCAGGCGGCCGUCCAAGUCCGGUGUUAAAUGGUCGGGCUCAACCCGAUCAUGCGCUGGAAACUGGGCGGCUUGAGUCCCGUAGGGGAUGCCGGAAUUCCAGGUGUAGGGGUGAAAUCUGUAGAUAUCUGGAAGAACACAGAUGGCGAAGGCAGGCAUCUGGCCGGAGACUGACGCUGAGGCGCGAAGGCGCGGGGAGCGAACAGGUUUAGAUACCCUGGUAGUCCGCGCAGUAAACGAUGCGCACCAGGUGUCGGGCGGCAGCGCCCGGUACCGGAGCAAACGCGAUGAGUGCGCCGCCUGGGGAGUAUGCCCGCAAGGGUGAAACUCAAAUGAAUUGGCGGGG